CGCCAAGUCCGAGGCUCCGGCGUUCACCGGAGUCUGGUGCGAAAGGGA
rfam:Streptomyces sp. MBRL 10 scaffold00927, whole genome shotgun sequence.